GAUGAACGCUGGCGGCGUGCCUAAUACAUGCAAGUCGAGCGAACAGACGAGGAGCUUGCUCCUCUGACGUUAGCGGCGGACGGGUGAGUAACACGUGGAUAACCUACCUAUAAGACUGGGAUAACUUCGGGAAACCGGAGCUAAUACCGGAUAACAUGUUGAACCGCAUGGUUCAACAGUGAAAGACGGUCUUGCUGUCGGUGAUAGAUGGAUCCGCGCCGCAUUAGCUAGUUGGUAGGGUACCGGCUUACCAAGGCAAGGAUGGGUAGCCGGCCUGAGAGGGUGACCGGACACAUUGGGACUGAGAUACGGCCCAGACUCCUAAGGGAGGCAGCAGUGGGGAAUAUUGCACAAUGGGCGGAAGCCUGAUGCAGCAACGCCGUGUGCGGGAUGACGGCCUUCGGGUUGUAAACCGCUUUCGCCUGUGACGAAGCGUGAGUGACGGUAAUGUGUAAAGAAGCACCGGCUAGCUACGUG
rnacentral:rRNA from 1 species